rfam:Aspergillus terreus NIH2624 scaffold_3 genomic scaffold, whole genome shotgun sequence.
GUCGGUGUGGCGCAGUGGUUACCGCGUUCGGCUGCUAUGUACUGAUUCUCCGAUCAGUUACUCUAUAGUUGACCGGAUUCCUUCGGGUUCCUGGGUUCGAAUCCCAGCGCCGACG